UGAAAUUGUAGUAGACUGCUG
rnacentral:piRNA from 1 species